CCCCACUGCUAUCGAGGUGGGACUAAGCCAUGCUAGUCGAACGACCCGGACUAUGGCGGGGAGUGGCAGACUGCUCAGUAACACGUGGCCAACCUACCCUUGGGACGGAGACAACCCCGGGAAACUGGGGCUAAUCCCCGAUAGGUAAGGAAUCCUGGAAUGGAUCUUUGCUGAAAGGGCGUCUGGACCAUGCUUCUUGACGUCGCCCAAGGAUGGAGCCGCGACCGAUCAGGUAGUUGGCGAGGCAACGGCUCACCAAGCCUAUAACCGGUACGGGCCGUGAGAGCGGGAGCCCGGAGAUGGGCACUGAGACAAGGGCCCAGGCCCUACGGGGCGCAGCAGUUGCGAAAACUCCGCAAUGCGCGAAAGCGUGACGGGGCUACCCCGAGUGCCGCCCGUUGAGGGCGGCUUUUCCGCGGUGUAAGGAGCCGUGGGAAUAAGGAGAGGGCAAGACUGGUGUCAGCCGCCGCGGUAAUACCAGCUCUCCGAGUGGUGGGGACGAUUAUUGGGCUUAAAGCGUUCGUAGCCGGCUUAACAAGUCUUCCGUUAAAUCCAACGAUCUAAUCGUUGGGCUGCGGGAGAUACUGUUGGGCUAGGAGGCGGGAGAAGCCGACGGUAUUCUCGGGGUAGGGGUGAAAUCCUGUAAUCCCGGGAGGACCACCAGUGGCGAAGGCGGUCGGCUAGAACGCGCUCGACGGUGAGGGACGAAAGCUGGGGGAGCGAACCGGAUUAGAAACCCGGGUAGUCCCAGCUGUAAACGAUGCGGGCUAGGUGUUGGGGUGGCCACGAGCCACUUCAGUGCCGCAUGGAAGCAAUUAAGCCCGCCGCCUGGGGAGUACGGCCGCAAGGCUGAAACUUAAAGGAAUUGGCGGGGGAGCACCACAAGGCGUGAAGCUUGCGGUUU
rnacentral:rRNA from 1 species